UACAGAGGUCUCAAGCGUUGUUCGGAUUCAUUGGGCGUAAAGGGUGCGUAGGUGGCAUGGUAAGUCGGAUGUGAAAUCCCGGGGCUCAACCCCGGAACUGCAUUCGAUACUGCUGAGCUAGAGUACUGGAGAGGAGAUUGGAAUUUACGGUGUAGCAGUGAAAUGCGUAGAUAUUCGCAAGAACACCAGUGGCGAAGGCGGCUCACUGGCCCGGUACUGACGCUGAGGUGCGAAAGCGUGGGGAGCAAACAGG
rnacentral:rRNA from 1 species